UGAAAUUUCAGUUGGUCCUUUAUUGCUUCCUUAUCCCUUUUAAAUCCAACCAAAUGGUUGUUUUAUAUAUAUAUAUAUAUAUACAGUCCCCUUCAGUUGAGGGAUCCCUCAAAUAGUGUUAUUUGAGGGAUGGGGCGCUCAACCGUUGGAUAUGUUUUAAUGAUCUUGUGUGGCUGAGAUUGUUUUACAUCUUUUAACCCGUUUUCUGCCAAAUAGCCCGACACACCCAAUGCUGGAGAAGACCUAAGGCAUGCAGGCUCUCAGAUGGGAAUCGAAGGAAGAGGAAGAGCCCCUUGCAAGCCUAAGAGAAGACCCACUCUCUCGAGAUGAAGAGAUGACCCACCAUUUCCAAUUGAGCUUGCGAGAUUUCUAUUUCUAUAAGCCACACGAAUAUUUAAAAAAAAGAAAAGCUAUUGGUGAUAUGCAUCCAAACAGAAAAUGCAAUCAUAUUCAGUGUUGAAAUAAGAAUAAUGUGCAGAACUUUCUGGUUGAUGACUUAAAGUGGACUUCAUGGAAAAUGGCAAGUGCAGCUUGUGGAAUACUUGGGUUUCCAUUUAUGUCAAUAGUGCAACCAUCUGAGGAGGAGCUUUGAAGGACGGAGCAAAGGAGAUUGAUAUUUUUCUUCAUUAUGAAUCAUUUGCCGAUCAAGAGCUUUGAAAGAGGCAACAAACAUGUUCUGGUUUUUUGUCAUUAUAAUGUUUGUAGUCUUUUUGGGGUUGGAUGUAAGCUUUUCUAUUUAGAUGAAUAGUUGUUGGGGUCAACUUCUGCAAUUUAUUGAAGUUCAUAAUCGGCUUUCCAUGAUUUAA